AAAGUUGCCCCCGUAAGGGUAGUCAAGUUAAAAUCUGUUCUUAUCAGUUUAAUAUCUGAUACGUCCCCUAUCUGGGGACCAUAUAUUAAAUGGAUUUUUGAGAACGGGGGCCGAUUUCGAAGCUUGCUUCCGUCGCCCUAUGCAUUGACCCGAUAUGGCAGUAUCUUCGGGUACAGUGCACCACCC